rnacentral:lncRNA from 1 species
AAGGGCGGGGACCAAUGGGAGGGCGGGGCUCGAAGGGGGCGGGGCCUCGGGGAGGGUCCCUCCCGCUCUCUGCGCGUGCUCGAGGAGCGCGCCCCCCCCCCCCCCCCCCCCCCCCCCCCGGCAAGGUCCCGAGCGCACGAGGCCGGGGUGGGAGCCGGUUUGUCCCGGUUCCCGGAGUGGAUGGGACCCGCCUCAGGGACCGGCUUCUCCUGAGGAAACGCAGCCCUUCGAAGCCGGGCCCGGCUUGCAAUGAGUUGGCCGGGCUGUGAGCCCAAGGCCCGAAGGUGGCCAAACCAAGUCCUUGCACCCCCUCGAGGCCUGGCCUGUGGAAGAGGCAGAAUUAGGCUACGGCCCCACCUGACGCUUCCCCUAAUUGGCGUUCCUGACACAGACCCUGGGUCCAGAGGUGAGACACCAAAUUGAAAUGACUUUCAAAGGUUGCUAGAAAGAUUC